rnacentral:rRNA from 1 species
GCGCAACCCUUGCCCUUAGUUGCCAGCACAUUAUGGUGGGCACUCUAAGGGGACUGCCGGUGAAAAAACGGAGGAAGGUGGGGAUGACGUCAAGUCCUCAUGGCCUUUAUGUCCAGGGCUACACACGUGCUACAAUGGGUGGUACAGAGGGUCGCUAACCCGCGAGGGGGAGCCAAUCCCAAAAAACCAUCCUCAGUUCGGAUUGCAGUCUGCAACUCGACUGCAUGAAGCUGGAAUCGCUAGUAAUCGUGGAUCAGCAUGCCACGGUGAAUACGUUCCCGGGCCUUGUACACACCGCCCGUCACAUCAUGAAAGCUGGUUGUACUAGAAGUCAUCGAGCUAACCGCAAGGAGGCAGAUGCCCAAGGUAUGACUGGUGAUUGGGGUGAAGUCGUAACAAGGUAGCUGUAGGAGAACCUGUGGCUGGAUCACCUCCUUU